AACCUUUUUCUCGUCUAUUAGUUUGGUACCUAAGCCUAACGACAUUAAGAUUUUGUUAAGGUGGUAGCGCUGGCUACUCAUGCGCCACCACGUGUCGCACUCCCAAGAUCCCUUUAAUCCGUGUUGACCUGUCUCCUUGGAAAAAAAGAACUAAAAACAUCAUUUAUUAAAAUAACAAAAAAUAAAAAACAAAUAAAUGUUUUCCAUCGGUUAUUGAAUCGAUUGGAACAAAAAUCUUUUCGAUUGCUUAAGAAACCUUUUGGAUUAUCCCUGAACAUUAAAAGCUAUAUAUGAUUUUUAUCUUAUUGACAUUGAAUCCUUUCACCAGUCCCG
rnacentral:lncRNA from 1 species